rnacentral:rRNA from 1 species
AGUGAACGCUGGCGGUAGGCCUAACACAUGCAAGUCGAACGGCAGCACAGUAAGAGCUUGCUCUUACGGGUGGCGAGUGGCGGACGGGUGAGGAAUACAUCGGAAUCUACUUUUUCGUGGGGGAUAACGUAGGGAAACUUACGCUAAUACCGCAUACGACCUACGGGUGAAAGCAGGGGAUCUUCGGACCUUGCGCGAUUGAAUGAGCCGAUGUCGGAUUAGCUAGUUGGCGGGGUAAAGGCCCACCAAGGCGACGAUCCGUAGCUGGUCUGAGAGGAUGAUCAGCCACACUGGAACUGAGACACGGUCCAGACUCCUACGGGAGGCAGCAGUGGGGAAUAUUGGACAAUGGGCGCAAGCCUGAUCCAGCCAUACCGCGUGGGUGAAGAAGGCCUUCGAGUUGUAAAGCCCUUUUGUUGGGAAAGAAAAGCAGCAGGUUAAUACCCCGCUGUUCUGACGGUACCCAAAGAAUAAGCACCGGCUAACUUCGU